rnacentral:rRNA from 1 species
GAUGAACGCUGGCGGCGUGCCUAAUACAUGCAAGUCGAGCGAACAGACGAGGAGCUUGCUCCUCUGACGUUAGCGGCGGACGGGUGAGUAACACGUGGAUACCUACCUAUAAGACUGGGAUAACUUCGGGAAACCGGAGCUAAUACCGGAUAAUAUAUUGAACCGCAUGGUUCAAUAGUGAAAGACGGGUUUGCUGUCACUUAUAGAUGGAUCCGCGCCGCAUUAGCUAGUUGGUAAGGUAACGGCUUACCAAGGCAACGAUGCGUAGCCGACCUGAGAGGGUGAUCGGCCACACUGGAACUGAGACACGGUCCAGACUCCUACGGGAGGCAGCAGUAGGGAAUCUUCCGCAAUGGGCGAAAGCCUGACGGAGCAACGCCGCGUGAGUGAUGAAGGUCUUCGGAUCGUAAAACUCUGUUAUUAGGGAAGAACAAAUGUGUAAGUAACUAUGCACGUCUUGACGGUACCUAAUCAGAAAGCCACGGCUAACUACGUG